AGGACGAACGCUGGCGGCGUGCUUAACACAUGCAAGUCGAGCGGUAAGGCCCUUUCGGGGGUACACGAGCGGCGAACGGGUGAGUAACACGUGGGUGACCUGCCCUUAGCUCUGGGAUAAGCCUGGGAAACUGGGUCUAAUACCGGAUAUGACCUCGCGAUGCAUGUCGUGGGGUGGAAAGCCUUGUGCGGCUAGGGAUGGGCCCGCGGCCUAUCAGCUUGUUGGUGGGGUGAUGGCCUACCAAGGCGACGACGGGUAGCCGGCCUGAGAGGGCGACCGGCCACACUGGGACUGAGACACGGCCCAGACUCCUACGGGAGGCAGCAGUGGGGAAUCUUGCGCAAUGGGCGAAAGCCUGACGCAGCGACGCCGCGUGAGGGAUGACGGCCUUCGGUUGUAAACCUCUUCAGCCCUGACGAAGCGAAGUGACGGUAGGGCAGAAGAAGCACCGGCCAACUACGCGCCAGCGAGCCGCGGUA
rnacentral:rRNA from 1 species